AGUGAACGCUGGCGGUAGGCCUAACACAUGCAAGUCGAACGGCAGCACAGUAAGAGCUUGCUCUUACGGGUGGCGAGUGGCGGACGGGUGAGGAAUACAUCGGAAUCUACUUUUUCGUGGGGGAUAACGUAGGGAAACUUACGCUAAUACUGCAUACGACCUACGGGUGAAAGCAGGGGAUCUUCGGACCUUGCGCGAUUGAAUGAGCCGAUGUCGGAUUAGCUAGUUGGCGGGGUAAAGGCCCACCAAGGCGACGAUCCGUAGCUGGUCUGAGAGGAUGAUCAGCCACACUGGAACUGAGACACGGUCCAGCCUCCUACGGGAGGCAGCAGUGGGGAAUAUUGGACAAUGGGCGCAAGCCUGAUCCAGCCAUACCGCGUGGGUGAAGAAGGCCUUCGGGUUGUAAAGCCCUUUUGUUGGGAAAGAAAAGCAGCAGGUUAAUACCCCGCUGUUCUGACGGUACCCAAAGAAUAAGCACCGGCUAACUUCGUG
rnacentral:rRNA from 1 species